UACUCCUACGGGAGGCAGCAGUGGGGAAUUUUGGACAAUGGGGGCAACCCUGAUCCAGCCAUUCCGCGUGAGUGAAGAAGGCCUUCGGGUUGUAAAGCUCUUUCAGCAGGAACGAAACGGUAGGCUUUAAUACAGCCUGCUAAUGACGGUACCUGCAGAAGAAGCACCGGCUAACUACGUGCCAGCAGCCGCGGUAAUACGUAGGGUGCGAGCGUUAAUCGGAAUUACUGGGCGUAAAGCGUGCGCAGGCGGCGACAUUAGACAGAUGUGAAAUCCCCGGGCUCAACCUGGGAACUGCGUUUGUGACUGUGUUGCUAGAGUGUAGCAGAGGGGGGUGGAAUUCCACGUGUAGCAGUGAAAUGCGUAGAGAUGUGGAGGAACACCGAUGGCGAAGGCAGCCCCCUGGGUUAACACUG
rnacentral:rRNA from 1 species